ACCAAACUGUUCGGCUCUCCAAGCGAGGACAUUCGUUGUUGCCUGGACGAGCCUCCUGCCUUUGUCCCACUGGGCUGGGGAAAGCAGCCAUAAGUCUGAGCUGAGGGAACGCCAGCAGUACUGCUAGGUGCUGUUACCCAAAGGCAGCUGCUGAGCUCGGCACAGCCUUUCUGCUUGCUGUGCGAAGCCUGAUUGUUCCACCAGAUGUAGCAGAAAUGCAGCACUGGAGCCCCUUUGUGUUGUCAAGAUAAACACUCCAGCACCCCCCAGGAAGAAGCCUGUUUAUGGUGUAGAUCUUCACAGCAAGUAAAAAGAGUGCACGUGCGCAGCUCCCCUCCCAGCGGGGUGGCAGAGGUGCCUGGUGUGGGUGGGAGCUGCCUGCAGCUGCAGCACCGUGUUUUGUUUUGGUUACUGAGGAUGGGGAACCCCCGAGGCAGCAGCUCUCAAAUAGUUUCUACCAGUGACCUCAUCAGAAAUCGUUCUGGUUCUGUUUUUUUAAUCUCAUCUUCCCAGAGCGUGGCCCACAAUUGCAAGUGCUUUCUUGGCAUUUGCAGUUCCACUCCAUGUCACACACCCGGCAGCCACAGGAUUGCCCUCGUAUGCUGAGGGUGGCCUGGGUGCCAGCAGCCCCCAGCAGAGCUCAGCUGGGCUCGGAAGCAAUGAAGGGCUGGUAGAGGAGCACGUGUCCAACUGCUGUUAAAUAACAGCAGGAGAGAUUUAUUCUGAGCCUGUUAAGCUGGUCCUGUGUUCCACUUCGGCCUAGUCUUCUUUAUCUCUACCCAUCUUCCUCCUCCAUAAGACCUACUAAACUAGUCAAAAGCAAGGUGGUUUUGUUUUUUCUUGUCCUCCCUUUCAUUAGGCUGCUCAUCACGCUUCACUGCAAACAAGUGUCUGCUUCUCUGGUGCCUCUGAGUUAGUAGAUUAGAGGGGAAAUAUGCUUUUUCAUUUCCUAAAUAUAGUUGGUUGUAACUGCUUCCUUGACAGCCUUGAAUGUCAUCCAGGUCAAAGAUCCAGCGCUGGGGAGGAAGGUAAAGCCUUUCUGUGUCAUCCUGACCUUUUUUAUUUGAACACAGCAGCGUGGACUAUCAACCUAUUUCAGGGAGGGAUGUUAGAAGUUCUUUGUGAUAGAAAGCUAACAGCAGGAGUACGGGGAGGAGUCAUUUUGUCUGGCGGUUGUUCUCCUGUUUUUCUAGGUGAGACUUCUGGGAUGAGGCUCUUCAACCUGCCUGCUUUUGUUAACCCUAGACUGGCUUUUGCUCUCUGCAACGUAAUUAGAAUACUUCAGAGGAAAAGCUAUCGUUGAUUGAUGAGUACUUUUAUCCUUCACUGAGGGUUGUGAGCUGUCAAAUCCUACAAUGAAACAAAUAUUCUGGUGCUGAGGAGGAAAGGGAACGCUGCAUGAAGGCAGAGAAAUUAGGGCACUUGGGGAAUGUGCUUUCAGACCUAGUUCUGCCUGCAACAGCAAGCUGAAAGGACAGUAACUCUGGGGAAGGAGCACAGUGAUCCUUUGGUCCUAGCUCUGCUGCUCUUUCCUUGUCUAACCCUGCCCAGCAUCGGCGUCAGCCGCUCGACUGCUUUUGCAACUUCGGGGUAGCCAUGCUCCUCUAACUACUUCAGCUCUACAGCGACUGCCUUCUAAUGGAAGGAACCAUUAUCUCAACCAUAAGGGCAAAAAUACCUGUUUGGUGUUAGUGUGGGUGCAAUUCCCUGUUGAUUCAGCUCCCAUCAGCAGGCAAAGAUGGGCAUCUGUAUUUAGUAAGUUGUACAGUGUGAAUUAUGACUGCCCCAGUCAAACAUCAGGGCUGAAUGCUGUGUGACCAGUCAAAUGCCAACAUCAAAGAAGCCGAGAGAAUAAAGCUUCAGAAGGACUUUGAUUAGAAGAA